GAUGAAGAACGUAGUGAAAUGCGAUACGUAAUGUGAAUUGCAAAUUCAGUGAAUCAUCGAGUCUUUGAACGCACAUUGCGCCCCCUGGUAUUCCGGGGGGCAUGCCUGUCCGAGCGUCAUUGCUGCCCUCAAGCACGGCUUGUGUGUUGGGCCCCGUCCUCCGAUCCCGGGGGACGGGCCCGAAAGGCAGCGGCGGCACCGCGUCCGGUCCUCGAGCGUAUGGGGCUUUGUCACCCGCUCUGUAGGCCCGGCCGGCGCCUGCCGAUCAACCCAAAUUUUUUAUCCAGGUUGACCUCGGAUCAGGUAGGGAUACCCGCUGAACUUAAGCAUAUCAAUAAGCGGAGGA
rnacentral:misc_RNA from 1 species